GACGAACGCUGGCGGCGUGCUUAACGCAUGCAAGUCGAACGGAAAGGCCCUGCUUUUGUGGGGUGCUCGAGUGGCGAACGGGUGAGUAACACGUGAGUAACCUGCCCUUGACUUUGGGAUAACUUCAGGAAACUGGGGCUAAUACCGGAUAGGAGCUCCUGCUGCAUGGUGGGGGUUGGAAAGUUUCGGCGGUUGGGGAUGGACUCGCGGCUUAUCAGCUUGUUGGUGGGGUAGUGGCUUACCAAGGCUUUGACGGGUAGCCGGCCUGAGAGGGUGACCGGCCACAUUGGGACUGAGAUACGGCCCAGACUCCUACGGGAGGCAGCAGUGGGGAAUAUUGCACAAUGGGCGGAAGCCUGAUGCAGCAACGCCGCGUGCGGGAUGACGGCCUUCGGGUUGUAAACCGCUUUCUCCUGUGACGAAGCGUGAGUGACGGUAAUGGGUAAAGAAGCACCGGCUAACUACGUG
rnacentral:rRNA from 1 species